rnacentral:pre_miRNA from 1 species
ACGCUGAGCUCUUGUCAAGUGUAUCUAGUGUGAGUCACGUGCUAGAGACACGUGACUGGUGCUCAGCG